UCUUUAUUGCAAAGAUGUAUCCUGUUGGGAUUUGGUGGUUCCCAGUGAGUCGGAUGCUGGGUAGAAAUCAUGGGACUUAGAUCCAAUGCGAUUCAAUUCAAUUCAAUAAAGCUUUAGUCAACAUG